UGUCUUUUCCUUCAAGAAGUCCCACCCAGUGAGGGAUGGUGACCUCACUCUUUGUUUACUUCCUGUGGCAAACUUGGUGGUAAGGGAGGCCAGCUUGGGGAGGGGAGCCCGGGAGCAGGGGUGCAAAUGGAGGCCCACACGCUACAUGUCUAUUUAAAACAUAUACAUUAAGCUAACCAGUUUUUAUAAAUGUAUAAAAUAUGUUCUAUCCUCCUACUUGGAUAAAUAUACCUGGAAGGUCAGUUUCUAAUUUAGAAUUCCCACAGCGCUCAACCGCAUUCCAGCCAACACCUUUGGAACCCCCAUUCUGUAAGUUCAGCUUCUGUUCAUGCCCCUCCAGAUGCCUGUCCUCUGGCCACCCCUAGGAUCCAAGGGUGCACAGUCAGUGGCACAGUCUACCCUUGGGAAAACAGACCCGGGGAAGAGGCUUAUUCAAGCCUCAUUAAAUCCAGAAAAUGGAUUUGGGGUCAUUUGGGCAAGGAUUACCUGGGUCCCAGCUACUUGGAGUGUGGUCUAGAACUGGGAGGGGCAGGAUGCAGACUCUAAGUAAGCCACUUCCGGAACCCACAGGCUGUUUGCCCGGUGGUAGGGGCAGCUGGAGGGUGGCCAGAGUACAGCCCCCCAGAGCAGGGGCCCAGGGAGGUCCUGGGAGGAGGCAGCCUUGAGUUGGAAGGCAGACAGCAGUCACCUGUGUGGAGGAGGAACUAGGACACUCUUCUCGGCAGACAGCAGCAUGUGCAGAGACCCAGAGUCUAGAAAAAACAGAUCUGGAGAACAGCAAGGAGGUGUAAAUGGUAUAAAUGGCCAAGGUGCAGUGCUUCUUGGGGGCUGCCAGGUGACAGGCGCAGAAGGAAGCAAGGGUACAUUGUGAAGGGCUUUAAUGCCACUUUAGAGCACUGGUUCCUGUCCUAAAGCCUGUGGAGCAGUGCUGAGGAUUCUAAGCACAGGAGUGACAGCAUAAGCUAGCUCAUUUACAAAGACCACCCCGGCAGAUGGAUUAGAUCCAGUAGAUCAGUUAGGCGGGUAUGGAAGUCUAUGUGAGGAAUCUAGGAGAUCUCAGUAAAAUAAUUCAGUGACAGAGGAUGCUCAGGAAAGAAUUAAAAGGCGACUGAGGGGGAACAAGAAGUCCAGGCCUAGAAGCAGCACCAUCCACUAGAAUUUGCUGCAGCGAAGGAGGGCUUCUGUGGCUGCACUGUCCAGCGUGGGAGCCAUGAGACUGUGUGGCUGUCAAGCAUUUAGAAGGUGACCAGUGAGACUGGGACUGAAUUUUAAACCUCAUUUAAAUCGAAAUAGCCACAAGUGGCUAGUGGCUAUCACGUUAGUGCAGCUCUAGAGCAAUUUCCAGGUUUCUGGCUUGGACAGCUUAUGCGGUCAUGAGGACUUCCACGAGGACAGCAGUCCCAGGUGGGGCUGGUUCUAUAUGUGUUGAGUUGGGGUACUUUGGAACAGCCACCCAGCCUGGCCUCCCCUUGGGCAUCUUGCUCCUGUGUGGCCUGCUGCAGCGACAGCUCAGGCUGUGGCACUGCAGGGACUGCCUCUCAGACCUCAUCGGAUCCACCUGGGCAUGGCAGACGGCUGCGCUUCAAAGCAGGUUCAUCUGGCUGCUCCUUCCCUCUAGGGUGAGGACUCUAUAGUAAAAGGAAUUUGAUGCCUCGUAGAGGGAGAGAGGAAACCGUGAGCCCUGCUUUCCAGCCAUGGCAAAAGCGGGUACUUUUGUGCAACCCCUCUGCUUUCACGUUGGCCUGCCUAGGGCGGAGCUGCCACACCAGUGACCAGCGUUUCUUUGGGAAAAUUGGACUUACUCCACUUCCACCUUUUCCACUCUUCAAAUGAUCACAUUUGCAUAUUGGGAACAGUGUAUUUGUGAAGAGACUCUCAGGCCUUCCAGGGACCCCCCCCUACAGCCCAGGUCCUGGUUCUGUCCUCCCCAGAUGCUGCUAGAGAAACUGAAUGGCACAGUGCCCUGCCUGUUGGAUACCAGCACCAUCCCCGCUGAGGAGCUGACCAUGAGCCCUUCGCGCUCAGUGGCCAACUCUGGCCUGAGUGACAGCCUGACCACCAGCACCCCCCGGCCCUCCAACGGCGACUCGCCUUCCCACCCCUACCACCGAACCUUCUCCCCCCACUUCCACCACUUUGUGGAGCAGUGCCUUCAGCGCAACCCGGAUGCCAGGUAUUCCUGCUGGCCUUGGCCUGGGCUUCGGGAGAGCAGAGGGUGCUCAAGAGGGUAAGGCCAGGGUGUGAAGGGACGCACCUCUCAAAGGUUCUGCAGGGGAAUCUGGAGCUACACACAGGAGGGAUCAGCUCCUGGGUGUGUCAGAGGCCAGCCUGGGGAGCUCUGGCCACUGCUUCCCAUGAGGAGAGGGAGAGGGGACCUGAGGCUGAGGCAUAAGUGGCAGGAUUUCGGGAAGCUGGGGGCACGGCAGUGAUGCUGCGGUCUCUCCUCCCCUUUCCCUCCAGGCCCAGUGCCAGCACCCUCCUGAACCACUCUUUCUUCAAGCAGGUAUCGUAGCCCCUUCGUUCUGGUUCUGGUUCUAGUUCUGGUUCUAACAACUCACGAUCCCUUUAGCUUUCUCUCCCCUCCCUUUAAAUGAGAGAAACUACCCUGCUUCCGAAGCCCCUGAAAGACACUGCUCCUUCCUCUCAUAGAGUUGGCUCCGACAGCCCGUCUGCCACCAGGCCAUGGUUCCUUGCCCCAUGGUGUCCUGGGACCCAGAGCAACAGGAUCUGUCACCCACCUCUCUCUUCUCCCCCAGAUCAAGCGACGUGCCUCAGAGGCUUUGCCCGAAUUGCUUCGUCCUGUCACCCCCAUCACCAAUUUUGAGGGCAGCCAGUCUCAGGAUCACAGUGGAAUCUUUGGCCUGGUAACAAACCUGGAAGAGCUGGAGGUGGACGAUUGGGAGUUCUGAGCCUCUGCAAACUGCGCAUUCUCCAGCCAGGGACGCAGAGGCCACCCAGUGGCCCUUCCUGAGGGCCGGCCACAUUCCCGCCCUCCUGGGCAGAUUGGGUAGAAAGGACAUUCUUCCAGGAAAGUUGACUGCUGACUGAUUGGGAAAGAAAAUCCUGGAGAGACACUUCACUGCUCCAAGGCUUUUGAGACACAAGGGAAUCUCAACAACCAGGGAUCAGGAGGGUCCAAAGCCGACAUUCCCAGUCCUGUGAGCUCAGGUGACCUCCUCCGCAGAAGGAAGAGAUGCUGCUCUGGCCCUGGGAGCUGAAUUCCAAGCCCAGGGUUUGACUCCUUAACCCCGAGGACCGCCACCUCUUCCCAGUGCUUGCGACCAGCCUCAUUCUAUUUAACUUUGCUCUCAGAUCCUAUAGGUCAGUGAAAGGGCAAGUAGUAAGCUGCCUGCCUCCCUUCCCUCAGACUUCUCCCUCAUAAUUCCAGAGAAGGGCAUUUCUGUCUUUUUUAAGCACAGACUAAGGCUGGAACAGUCCAUCCUUAUCCCCUUCUGGCUUGGGCCCUGACACCUAAGUCUUUCCCACGGUUUAUGUGUGUGCCUCAUUCCUUUCCCACCAAGAAUCCAUCUUAGCGCCUGUUGCCAGCUGCCCUGGUGCUUUCUCCAAGGGCCAUCAGUGUCUUGCCUAGCUUGAGGGCUUAAGUCCUUAUGCUGUGUUAGUUUUGUUGUCAGAACAAAUUAAAAUUUCCAGAGACAUUG
rnacentral:sRNA from 1 species